rnacentral:tRNA from 1 species
GCGGGUAUAGUUUAGUGGUAAAACCUUAGCCUUCCAAGCUAGUGAUGCGGGUUCGA